UAAUACGUAGGGGGCGAGCGUUGUCCGGAUUUAUUGGGCGUAAAAGGCUUGUAGGUGGCCACGGCAAGUCGGAUGUGAAAUCUCCCGGCUCAACUGGGAGGGGUCAUUCGAUACUGCCGGGCUCGAGGCCGGUAGGGGGAAGCGGAAUUCCCGGUGUAGUGGUGGAAUGCGUAGAUAUCGGGAGGAACACCAGAGGCGAAGGCGGCUUCCUGGACCGGUCCUGACACUGAGGAGCGAAAGCGUGGGGAGCGAUCCGGAUUAGAUACCCGGGUAGUCCACGCCGUAAACGGUGGGCACUAGGUGUCGGGGGUAUCGACCCCUCCGGUGCCGCAGCUAACGCAUUAAGUGCCCUGCCUGGGGAGUACGGCCGCAAGGCUA
rnacentral:rRNA from 1 species